rnacentral:misc_RNA from 1 species
GAUGAAGAACGUAGCGAAAUGCGAUAAGUAAUGUGAAUUGCAGAAUUCAGUGAAUCAUCGAAUCUUUGAAUGCACCUUGCACCCUUUGGCAUUCUGAAGGGUAUGCUCGUUUGAGUGUCAUUGUACUCUCACACUCCCGAUCUUUGCAUUGGGAGCAGUGGACUUGGGUUUGCUGCUUCACCGUCGCUUACCUCAAAUAGGUUAGUGCAACUCUUGGUUGGACAUAGUACGGCGUGAUAAGUGUUCUUCGCCGGUGCCUCGCAAAGAGGGUGGCCGAUCGGGAUGUUGUGCUCCAAACCGUCUUCGGACAAUCUCUGACGACUUGACCUCAAAUCGAGUAAGACUACCCGCUGAACUUAAGCAUAUCAAUAAGCGGAGGA